rnacentral:rRNA from 1 species
CCUACGGGGGGCUGCAGUGAGGAAUAUUGGUCAAUGGCCGAGAGGCUGAACCAGCCAAGUCGCGUGAGGGAAGACGGCCCUACUGGUUGUAAACCUCUUUUGUCGGGGAGCAAAGCGAGUCACGUGUGACUCAUUGAGAGUACCCGAAGAAAAAGCAUCGGCUAACUCCGUGCCAGCAGCCGCGGUAAUACGGAGGAUGCGAGCGUUAUCCGGAUUUAUUGGGUUUAAAGGGUGCGUAGGCGGACUGUUAAGUCAGCGGUAAAAGCCCGGGGCUCAACCCCGGCGAGCCGUUGAAACUGGCUGUCUGGAGAUGUCGAGAGGUAUGCGGAAUGCGCAGUGUAGCGGUGAAAUGCUUAGAUAUUGCGCAGAACUCCGAUUGCGAAGGCAGCAUACCGGCGGCGAUCUGACGCUGAGGCACGAAAGCGUGGGUAUCGAACAGGAUUAGAUACCCCUGUAGUC